GUUUCAUAAAAAUUUUAUAUAGAAUUUUAUUUUUUAGUUAAAAAGCUAAAAUUUAUUCAAAAGACGAGAAGACCCUAUAAAUCUUUAUUAUUUAAAUUAUUUUAUUUAAAUUUGAUUAAUAAUUUGGUAAUAGUUUAAAUAAUUUUAUUGGGGUGAUAGUAAAAUUUAAAAAACUUUUAUUUAUAUUUAUCAAUAAUUUUUGAUUUUUUGAUCCAUUUAUAGUGAUUAAAAAUUUAAGUUACUUUAGGGAUAACAGCGUAAUAUUUUUGGAGAGUUCUUAUCGAUAAAAAUGUUUGCGACCUCGAUGUUGGAUUAAGAUUCAUAUUUAAAUGCAGAAGUUUAAAUAUAAAGUCUGUUCGACUUUUUAUUCUUACAUGAUCUGAGUUCAGACCGGCGUAAGCCAGGUUGGUUUCUAUCUUUGAAUAAUAAAAUAUUUUAGUACGAAAGGAAUAAGUAUUUAUUUUUAAGAAAUUUAUUUUUGAAU
rnacentral:rRNA from 1 species